rnacentral:lncRNA from 1 species
AUGACUGUGGGGAGUGUGUGUGGGAAUGACAACCUACGAGGAGGCAACCUGAAGAGCAGACACCCGGGAAGUAAAACAACAAAGUUUCCUGUGUAUACGAUGGGCUUUACUAUCUCAGCAUUAUAGAGACGUAACUGCUAAAAUGAAGUCUGGCAUUGUUUUUCUCAUGGCUGAGUGAGUGGCAGACCCUGGGGAGAAUGUAUUAGAGUUCUCAUCUUGUAACUUAACUUCUCCUUUUGUUGUUCUGCAUAAUUGCUGUCACCCAGGUAAAGCUGGAUUGUUUCUUCCAUGGUAAAUUCUCUCCCACACAACCCUUUGACCUUCAGGCAGUGAGAGCAGCAGGGUUUCUCAUCUCAUGAUUUAACUGAAGAAAAUAACUACUUGAAGAGGAAGUGCUUUGAAAUAAACAAUGUCUCUGAAUUAGAAAACUAAACA